rnacentral:rRNA from 1 species
UACGGAGGGAGCUAGCGUUGUUCGGAAUUACUGGGCGCAAAGCGCACGUAGGCGGCUUCUUAAGUCUGCCGGUGAAAUGCCGGGGCUCAACCACAGAAUUGCCUUCGAUACUGAUUGGCUUGAGACCGGAAGAGGUAAGUGGAACUGCGAGUGUAGAGGUGAAAUUCGUAGAUAUUCGCAAGAACACCAGUGGCGAAGGCGGCUUACUGGUCCGGUUCUGACGCUGAGGCGCGAAAGCGUGGGGAGCAAACAGG